CCUACGGGAGGCAGCAGUGAGGAAUAUUGGUCAAUGGGCGGGAGCCUGAACCAGCCAAGUCGCGUGUGGGAAGACGGUCCUACGGAUUUUAAACCCUUUUUGCCGGGGAGCAACGGGGUCCUUGCGAGGGCCCGAUGAGAGUACCCGGAGAAAAAGCAUCGGCUAACUCCGUGCCAGCAGCCGCGGUCAUACGGAGGAGGCGAGCGUUAUCCGGAUUUAUUGGGUUAAAAGGGUGCGUAGGCGUGCUGUUAAGUCAGCGGUAAAAUGUCGGGGCUCAACCCCGGCCUGCCGGUGAAACUGGCGGCCUCGAGUGGGCGAGAAGUAUGCGGAAUGCGGGGUGUAGCGGUGAAAUGCAUAGAUAUCACGCAGAACGCCGAUGGCGAAGGCAGCAUACCGGCGCCCUACUGACGCUGAGGCACGAAAGCGUGGGUAUCGAACAGGAUUAGAUACCCCAGUAGUC
rnacentral:rRNA from 1 species